GUAGGUGAACCUGCGGAAGGAUCAUUACACAGUACUAUCAGGGGGUCGGCGAGUGGCUGCGUGCAAGCGCUCUGCUUCCUACCCCAUCUGAUUUUACCCAUGUUUUUUGCGUACCUCUGUUUCCUCGGCAGGCUUGCUUGCCAGUAGGACACCAUCAACCCAUUGUCGUAGUAGUCAGCGUCAGAAAAAAUGUAAUAAUUACAACUUUCAACAACGGAUCUCUUGGUUCUGGCAUCGAUGAAGAACGCAG
rnacentral:misc_RNA from 1 species